rnacentral:rRNA from 1 species
GAUGAACGCUGGCGGCGUGCCUAAUACAUGCAAGUCGAGCGAACGGACGAGAAGCUUGCUUCUCUGAUGUUAGCGGCGGACGGGUGAGUAACACGUGGAUAACCUACCUAUAAGACUGGGAUAACUUCGGGAAACCGGAGCUAAUACCGGAUAAUAUUUUGAACCGCAUGGUUCAAAAGUGAAAGACGGUCUUGCUGUCACUUAUAGAUGGAUCCGCGCUGCAUUAGCUAGUUGGUAAGGUAACGGCUUACCAAGGCAACCAUGCAUAGCCGACCUGAGAGGGGGAAUCGGCCAACCGGAAAUGGAAACAGGGCCAGACCCCCACGGGGGGGAGGAGGGAGGAAAAUUUCCCAAAGGGGCGAAGCCCGACCGAGCCAACGCGGGGGGGGUGAGAAGGUCUUCCGAUUGGAAAAACCCUUUAUUUGGGAAAAACAACAUGUGUAAAUAACUUUGCCCAUCUUAACGGACCCAAAGCAGAAACCCACGCUAAACUAGGG